GCGCCGGUGGUGUAAUGGCGUAGAGCAUCCCCACCCAGUCAACAGAUGGUGCGGGUUCGAAACCCGUCUGGCGCU
rnacentral:tRNA from 1 species